UACGAAGGGGGCGAGCGUUGUUCGGAUUUACUGGGCGUAAAGGGCGCGCAGGCGGCUCAUUUUGUCAGGCGUGAAAGCCCCGGGCUUAACCUGGGAACUGCGUUUGAUACGGAUGGGCUAGAGUUCGGGAGAGGAGAGUGGAAUUCCCAGUGUAGAGGUGAAAUUCGUAGAUAUUGGGAAGAACACCGGUGGCGAAGGCGGGUCUCUGGGCCGGAACUGACGCUGAGGAGCGAAAGCGUGGGGAGCGAACAGG
rnacentral:rRNA from 1 species